rnacentral:ncRNA from 1 species
CACCUGGUUGAUCCUGCCAGUAGUCAUAUGCUUGUCUCAAAGAUUAAGCCAUGCAUGUCUAAGUAUAAGCUUUAAACGGCGAAACUGCGAAUGGCUCAUUAAAACAGUUAUAGUUUAUUUGGUGAUCGAUUACUAUUUGGAUAACCGUAGUAAUUCUAGAGCUAAUACAUGCGUCAAGGCCCGACUUCGGAAGGGCUGCGUUUAUUAGAUACAGAACCAACCUAGGCUCCGCCUAGUCCUUGUUGGUGAUUCAUAAUAACCCGGCGAAUCGCACGGCUUGUCCGGCGAUGGACCAUUCAAGUUUCUGACCUAUCAGCUAUGGACGGUAGGGUAUUGGCCUACCGUGGCGUUGACGGGUAACGGGGAAUUAGGGUUCGAUUCCGGAGAGGGAGCCUGAGAAACGGCUACCACAUCUAAGGAAGGCAGCAGGCGCGCAAAUUACCCAAUCCUGAUACAGGGAGGUAGUGACAAGAAAUAACAAUACAGGGCAAUUCUGUCUUGUAAUUGGAAUGAGUAGAUUUUAAAUCUCUUUACGAGUAUCAAUUGGAGGGCAAGUCUGGUGCCAGCAGCCGCGGUAAUUCCAGCUCCAAUAGCGUAUAUUAAAGUUGUUGCGGUUAAAAAGCUCGUAGUUGGAUUUCUGCCUUGGGCGACCGAUCCACCUUUCCUACGGGAUUGGUUGGUAUCAGGUUUGACCUUGGCUUUUUCUUGGGAUUCGUGCUCACGUACUUAACUGUGCGUUGACCGUGUUCCAAGACUUUUACUUUGAGGAAAAUAGAGUGUUUCAAGCAGGCUUAUGCCAUGAAUACAUUAGCAUGGAAAUAAUAGGAUAUGACUUCGGUCAUAUUUUUGUUGUUUCUAGGACUGAAGUAAUGAUU